rnacentral:lncRNA from 1 species
CCGCCCUCCCUCACGCAAGAGUCCCAGUCCCUCCCCUUUCAAAUCCUCUGAGCACUGGAUGGAAAAAGACCACGGUGAGACCGCCUCAUUCUGGCUUGGCCGCUACUUCUACGCUGACAAUGACGGUUUUUUCCAACGGGGAAGUAAGCCGCGGCUCUCAUACUGACAAUGGAAAUAUGUUGGGAAGGGCAUCCGCUAGUUGGCCUACCAAUCAGCAUUUAUAGUUUAGCGGGUCUCUCUUUCCUGCCUUCUAGUUGUCAGUCGGUUAACUCCACCCAGAAAGUAGUUCUUUCAUUCAUACAGCCGCAGAAAAGUAAUCUUAAAAUAAAAUGAUAUUUCUAACAUUCCAUCAUUUAUUUCUUAGCAGAAAUUUGAAGAAAAAAUAACCUUUAAUCCUUACAUCGUCUCUAAGUUACUUUUAGAUUCGAGGAAACCGCUCUCUAUCGAUCAGCGGAUGAAUACAUUCGAAACGGCUUCCGCUACAGGAUGUGGGCCGUGAUGAGACGGAACUGACAGACUGACAGAAGUUCAAUGUUUAUUUACGUUUGGUGGACGAAUCGUGAAGUUUUUAUGUAUCUUCGUUUAUAAAGUGUGUUAUAAUGUGUCUGUGACAGAAACUGUAUUGUGUCAAGAUGUCAAUGCCCAAGAUUAAAACGGAACCUGAUUUGGAUAACCAAAAUUUUCGGUCCUCCACAUCUCCCCAAAUAGUCAAAACAUCAUCGCCUCAACAAGUGCGGCCAUCGUCAGUGCUACGGUGCUAUCAAACGCUGUCUUUCAGCAGUUACAGCAGCAGCAACAACAACAACACAGCACAGCAGCAGCAGCAGCAACAACAGCAACAGCAGCAGCAGCAACAACAACAGCAACAGCAGCAGGACAGUAGUCAAGAUGAGGAAGAAAACUCGGCCGAUAGUAACCCCAUGUCUCCAAUGGAAGACAGAGAUCCUUUAUCAAGCAAUAGCCCUCAGCAACAGAUAAUAUCCCUCGGAGGAUUAACAAAUGUAAUACCGAUUCAACAAGUUGGUAGUAAAGAUAAUAGUAACCAGAUAGCGAAUUCUAGUCCACAUCAAAUUAUAUCGUUAAGUAACCUGCAAAAUUUAAUUCCAAUCCAACAAAUAGCAGGGAAAGACGGAAAAACAUUUGUGUCAACAGCAGGGCAAAAUGUAUCACCAGGGGUUGUGUCAAUUCAAGGAGUUCCUACUCAGCUUCUCCAGCAAAAUGGCGGAGCACAAAUUUUAUCAGCUGCCGCAGGCAAUGGUCUCACUUAUGUCCAGCCAACGCAAACAGUUACUGUCGAUGGCACAGAAACGUUUUUCAUACCUGGUGCUCAACAACUUAUCAAUCCUUCUGCUGCCCAAAUGCUGCGGUCGGCCAAUCUACUUCAUAGUUUAGGUGGUCAAACAUCCAAUUACAAACUGGGCAAAAUAUGUGUGUUCAACCUCAAGUAA